rnacentral:rRNA from 1 species
GUCGAGCGGGGAAAAGUAGCUUGCUACUUAACUUAGCGGCGGACGGGUGAKUWAUACUUAGGAAUCUGCCUAUUAGUGGGGGACAACAUUUCGAAAGGAAUGCUAAUACCGCAUACGUCCUACGGGAGAAAGCAGGGGAUCACUUGUGACCUUGCGCUAAUAGAUGAGCCUAAGUCGGAUUAGCUAGUUGGUGGGGUAAAGGCCUACCAAGGCGACGAUCUGUAGCGGGUCUGAGAGGAUGAUCCGCCACACUGGGACUGAGACACGGCCCAGACUCCUACGGGAGGCAGCAGUGGGGAAUAUUGGACAAUGGGGGGAACCCUGAUCCAGCCAUGCCGCGUGUGUGAAGAAGGCCUUUUGGUUGUAAAGCACUUUAAGCGAGGAGGAGGCUACUCUAGUUAAUACCUAGAGAUAGUGGACGUUACUCGCAGAAUAAGCACCGGCUAACUCUGUGCCAGCAGCCGCGGUAAUACAGAGGGUGCGAGCGUUAAUCGGAUUUACUGGGCGUAAAGCGUGCGUAGGUGGCCAAUUAAGUCAAAUGUGAAAUCCCCGAGCUUAACUUGGGAAUUGCAUUCGAUACUGGUUGGCUAGAGUAUGGGAGAGGAUGGUAGA